rnacentral:sRNA from 2 species
CGAAGUGGGUAGCUUAAUCCUGAUUCGUUUGCAUGAGUCGGGAACGGAGGAACCAUUGUUUGGGGCUAAUAUAUAUAGAGGCACCUUCCAGCCUUCGCCCGUCAGCUAACUCCGUAAGCCGUGGAAGGAACU